UACGGAGGGUGCAAGCGUUGUCCGGAUUUAUUGGGUUUAAAGGGUGCGUAGGCGGCCCGCUAAGUCUGUGGUGAAAUCCCGGGGCUCAACCCCGGAACUGCCCUGGAUACUGGCGGGCUUGAGUUCGGUUGAGGCGGGCGGAACUGGCGGUGUAGCGGUGAAAUGCAUAGAUACCGCCAAGAACCCCGAUUGCGUAGGCAGCUCGCUGAGCCGAAACUGACGCUGAGGCACGAAAGCGUGGGGAGCGAACAGG
rnacentral:rRNA from 1 species